rnacentral:rRNA from 1 species
UGGGGAAUAUUGCACAAUGGAGGGAACUCUGAUGCAGCGACGCCGCGUGAGUGAUGAAGGAAUUCGUUUCGUAAAACUCUGUUCUAUGGGAAGAAAAGGACUGUACCAUAGGAGAAAGCUCCGGCUAAAUACGUGCCAGCAGCCGCGGUAAUACGUAUGGAGCGAGCGUUGUCCGGAAUUAUUGGGCGUAAAGGGUGCGCAGGCGGCUUUACAAGUUGGUUGUGAAAUAUUGUGGCUCAACCACAAACGUGCAUCCAAAACUGCAAAGCUUGAGUUAAGGAGAGGUGAGUGGAAUUCCUGGUGUAGCGGUAGAAUGCGUAGAAAUCAGGAUGAAUACCGGUAGCGAAGGCGACUUACUGGACUUAAACUGACGCACAGUCACAAAAGCGUGGGGAGCAAACAGG